rnacentral:rRNA from 1 species
AUUGAACGCUGGCGGCAGGCCUAACACAUGCAAGUCGAACGGUAACAGGAAGCAGCUUGCUGCUUCGCUGACGAGUGGCGGACGGGUGAGUAAUGUCUGGGAAACUGCCUGAUGGAGGGGGAUAACUACUGGAAACGGUAGCUAAUACCGCAUAACGUCGCAAGACCAAAGAGGGGGACCUUAGGGCCUCUUGCCAUCGGAUGUGCCCAGAUGGGAUUAGCUAGUAGGUGGGGUAACGGCUCACCUAGGCGACGAUCCCUAGCUGGUCUGAGAGGAUGACCAGCCACACUGGAACUGAGACACGGUCCAGACUCCUACGGGAGGCAGCAGUGGGGAAUAUUGCACAAUGGGCGCAAGCCUGAUGCAGCCAUGCCGCGUGUAUGAAGAAGGCCUUCGGGUUGUAAAGUACUUUCAGCGGGGAGGAAGGGAGUAAAGUUAAUACCUUUGCUCAUUGACGUUACCCGAAGAAGAAGCACCGGCUAACUCCGUG